UAGUCCAUGCCGUAAACGAUGGAUACUAGCUGUCCGGUCUUCGGACUGGGUGGCUAAGCGAAAGUGAUAAGUAUCCCACCUGGGGAGUACGUUCGCAAGAAUGAAACUCAAAGGAAUUGACGGGGGCCCGCACAAACGGUGGAGCAUGUGGUUUAAUUCGAUGAUACGCGAGGAACCUUACCAGGGCUUAAAUGUAGUCUGACAGCUUUAGAGAUAGAGUUUUCUUCGGACAGAUUACAAGGUGCUGCAUGGUUGUCGUCAGCUCGUGCCGUGAGGUGUCAGGUUAAGUCCUAUAACGAGCGCAACCCCUGUUGUUAGUUGCCAGCAUGUUAUGAUGGGGACUCUAACGGGACUGCCGGUGCAAACCGUGAGGAAGGUGGGGAUGACGUCAAAUCAUCACGGCCCUUACGUCCUGGGCCACACACGUGCUACAAUGGCCGGUACAGAGAGCAGCCAUGUCGCAAGGCAGAGCGAAUCUAUAAAGCCGGUCACAGUUCGGAUC
rnacentral:rRNA from 1 species